rnacentral:rRNA from 1 species
AUUGAACGCUGGCGGAAUGCUUUACACAUGCAAGUCGAACGGUAGAGGGGGCAACCCCUCGAGAGUGGCGAACGGGUGAGUAAUAUAUCGGAACGUGCCCAGUCGUGGGGGAUAACGUAGCGAAAGUUACGCUAAUACCGCAUACGAUCUAAGGAUGAAAGCGGGGGAUCGCAAGACCUCCCGCGAUUGGAGCGUCCGAUAUCAGAUUAGGUAGUUGGUGGGGUAAAGGCUCACCAAGCCAACGAUCUGUAGCUGGUCUGAGAGGACGACCAGCCACACUGGAACUGAGACACGGUCCAGACUCCUACGGGAGGCAGCAGUGGGGAAUUUUGGACAAUGGACGCAAGUCUGAUCCAGCCAUUCCGCGUGCAGGAUGAAGGCCCUCGGGUUGUAAACUGCUUUUGUACGGAACGAAACGGUCUCUCUUAAUACGGGGGACUCAUGACGGUACCGUAAGAAUAAGCACCGGCUAACUACGUGCCAGCAGCCGCCGUAA